GAUGAACGCUAGCGCUAUGCUUAACACAUGCAAGUCGAGGGGCAGCAUGGUCUUAUCUUUCUAAUACUGUUGGCGACCGGCGCACGGGUACGUAACGCAUAUGCAACUUACCUCACAGAGGUGGAUAACCCGUCGAAAGGCUGACUACUACCGCGUACACUCCAUCUUUGGCAUCCCAGUUAAAGAAAAUGAAAUUCUCUGUUAUAUAGGCAUGCGUCCCAUUUGCUAUUUGGUGAGGUAUCGGGUCACCAAGGGGACGAUGUGUAGGUGAAAUGAGAGGGUGAAACACUACAACGGUAAUGAGACACGGACCAGAAUGCUACGCGACGCAGCAGUGAGGAAUAUUGGGCAAUGGGCGCGAGCCUGACAAAGCCAAGUCGGGUGAAAGAGGACUGUCUUAGGAAUUCUAAACUUCUUUGAAACGGGAAUAACAAGAGUAACGAGUCACUCCUUGACUGUACCGAAUCAAUAAGCAACGGCUAACUCCGUG
rnacentral:rRNA from 1 species